UAGAGUGCUCUUUAACCUCGGUGUCCCUCGCCAGAUUUUGUGCUCCAGCUGCGCGGGCCACAGCACUCACAUAGUACAUGGACUAGUCCAAAGCAUUUACAGGACUCAUGAGAACAUUUCAAUGGGACAAAAGGAAUAGAACCCAUCUCCUCAUGAUGGCAGUAGAGGUCCUACUAUACCCACCACAACAUGGCACCUGCUCUUCCUGUCUUAAAAAAAAAAAACAAAAGAGAGGGGGAAAAAAAUAAACAGUAGAACACCGAAGUGCCAGGAACCAUUUCUGCCUCCAUUCUAUGUAGCUUGCUGGGACCAAAGCACAGCUUAGCAUUUUUUCCCUCAUGGUCUUUAAAAAAUAAAAUUCUUCCUCCCUCUACAUGUUUUGUUUUUCAUUCUAUGCAGUUCAGAGGGUUGGAGUGCAUGGUGCAACAAAGGCAUGGCUACAAGAACAGCUGAGAGCGCACAUCUGGGUACCAAAACAAGUGACAGAGUGCACGAUGGGAAUGACCAAACCUCCAGUGACAUACCUCCUCCACAAGGCUACAUCACCUAAUCAGUCCCAAACAUUUCCAGUCUAUAGACCACUAUUGGGUUAAAAAAUGAUGAUCUGCACAAUUUGUUCAAAACCUUAGAGGGUGACAAGGACUUAAAUAGUCCAAGAGAAUUAUCAGUAGAAGCUGAGAAAGAAUUAGCUUUGGUGGAAGACAAAAUACAGGAUGCACAUGUGGAUCAUGUGGAUCCAAAGCUUGAUUGCAUUUUGGUUAUUUUACCCUCUAAGCAUUCCCCUAUAGGAAUUUUAAUGCAGAGGGAAGAUAUUAUAUUGGAAUUGACAUUUCUACCAAAUAAGCAGAGUAAAAAAUUAAAAACUUAUGUGGAAAAAAUCUCUGACUUGAUUUUAAAAGGAAAAUUGAGACUUCAUCAAUUAGCAGGAAUAGACCCAGCAGAAAUUGUAGUACCUUUAUCUAAUGAUGAAAUUGACAAAUUAUGGGCAGAAAGUGAGCUUUGGCAAGGAGCUUGCAGCAAUUUUUUCGGGAGAGAUUAACAACAAAUGUUCCAAAAGUGACAGAAUUAAACUUAUAAAGAGAGCUAACUGGAUCUUGCCUUGUAUUGUAUGUGAAACACCAAUAUCUGGAGCCCCUACAUUUUAUACAGAUGCAAACAAAUAAGGAAAGGCUGGUUACAAAUCAUAAAACUUAAGUAAAGUGGCUCAAAGUCCUUAUAAUUGUUUCCAAAAAUCAGAAUUAUAUGCUAUUGUGAUGGUAUUAGUGGAUUUUUCAGAACCUCUCAACAUAGUUACUGACUCUCAGUAUGCUGAAAGUGUGGUUUUGCAUAUUGAAACUGCAGAACUUAUAUCCCUGAUGAGUCAGAAUUAAUUUCAUUAUUUAUUCAUUUACAAGAAAUAAUCAGGAAUAGGAAUCAUCCCUUAUAUAUAACCCAUAUGAUCCCAUAUGAGUCUGCCAGGCCCUCUAGCACAAGGUAAUGAUGAGAUCGAUAAACUAUUGAUAGGAAGUGUGCUGGAGGACUCAGAAUUUCAAAAAAAAAUCAUGUCAAUAGCAUGAUGUAACCCAAAAGGCACUCAGAGGGAUGAAAUCUGGCAGAUGGAUGUAUUUCAUUUUGUAGAAUUUGGAAAAUUGAAAUUUGCACAGCACACCACUGAUAGCUAUUCAGGAUUUCAAUGGGUGACUGCUCUGAGUUCCAAAAAGGCUGAUUCUGUAAUCAUGCAUUUACAAGAAGUUAUGGCCAUCAUGGGUAUACCUGUAAAAAUUAAAAUGUCAAUGCUCCAGUAUGUGUCUCUGGUAAAGUGAAAUAAUUUUUUACCUAUUACAAUAUAGAACAUAUUCCAGGUAUACCACACAGUCUUACAGGCCAAGCAGUCAUAGAAAGAUCAAAUCAAACUCUAAGGGAUAUGCUAAAUAAACAGAAAGGGAUAACAAAAAACCCCAGUAGUAGAUUACAUAAUGAUCUAUUAACUUUGAAUUUCUCAGUGCUAAUGAGAAAAGAAUAACAGCUGUGGAGAGACACUGGAUAAAAUAAACCUACAGAAUUAAAUCAACCUGUAUACUUUAAAGAUGCACUGACCUCAGAAUGGAAACAUGAUAUAUAUUAUGUUUGGAAUGAUUUUGUUGCUUUUGUUUCUGCAAGAGAAGAAAAGCUAUGGAUACCAUUAAAAUGGAUAAAGGUUCAAUUUUAACAAGAUAUGCCUCUUAAUUAGAAGAGGUGAUAGUUCAUCAAUGAGCAUGACCAUUCAAUUUUAACUAACAUACCACAAACAAAUGCUUUUCAUUUAAUCAGAUAUAACUUGCCUAAAGGGAACCUCCCCAAAGUUAGGGUUGGGGAAAGGUUUUUCUUUUCAUCUUUCAGGAGAAUGAAGGCUAAGGAAUCUGAAGAACAUUGGACAAAUGAGACAUCUAAAGAAAAGGACAAAUCAUCCAGAAAAAAAUGUCUCAAGUAAAAGAGGAACCAUCACUAGGCCUGACAGCAACUUUGAAGUCUCCAAAAAGAUGAUGGGACCCCACAAUGACAAUCCCAUCAGGACAAUGAUAAUACCACUAAGACGGCAAACACCACCCAAAGCACCAAUUUACUUCAGAGAAGAAGAUGGACAUUGAAGAACUACUUAUGGAGUUUACUUUCAUUGUGGCAAGUUAGCCACUGGGCAGUAAAAUGCCCUUACCUCACCUGCUGACAGUAUGCUGUCCAAAUGGACAAGCAUUACACAAAAGGAAGGACUGCUGAUCCUUUGCCAAGACAAGGACAGAGCCAGCUGCUAUGGAGAUCACUCUGUAUAAAUAAAAUGCUGAUUGGCCAGUAGCCAGGCAUGAAGUAUAGGCAGGAGAAGCAGAGAAGAGAAUUCUGGGAAGUGGAAGGCUGAGGCAGAGAGACAUUGCCAGCCACCGCCAUGAGAAGAUGUUAAGAUACCGUUUCCUACAUGCUACUAUAUUGGAGGAUUGUACAGAACAUAUGAGCCUUGCCUGGUACUGAAAACUCAGCCAAGUACUCAGCGACAGUGAAAUCAUGGCUCUUGGAGGAGAACCUACAACCACCACUUUGCUACACCAGCAUAAUCUCUGACUACAUUCUUAACAUUUGUCUUUAUAUCCACAGGUACGUUAUUUGAAUGCAAAGUGAUUUUCUGUGAUGGUGUUUGUGCCUGUGGACAAUGUGGCUACUCCUACUUGUGUCAAAGGUGUGUGGCUGACUUUGUUUCUUUCAUUUUGCAUACAUUCUGCAUUCAUAGCUUGGGGUUUAUUAUUUGUACAAUAAUAAGAAUCUGAUCAGUUUAUCUUCUCAUUUCUCCAUGAGGCUUCUUGAGAACCCAGACCAUAGGGAUUCAUUUUUCCAUUCAACAAAUGGCACCACAGGUUACCAUGAAACUAACUUGUUGGGCUAUUAAAAGGUAUAUAUGCAUAUAUACAUAUGUAAUUACUGCAAUAUAUACAAUUACAUGUAUGGAUUUUUACAUAUAAGGAUAUAGCCUUAUCAGUGUAAUGAUUGUCUGACUAUCCCCAUGAUGGGCACCAGA